GGCUCCCUCCCUCCUGCUUCAGCUGCUCCCCCUCCCCCUCUCUCUGCACCUCCUCGCAGCCUGGAGAUCCCCUGCCCGCCUCUGCUGAAGCCCUGCUGGCCGCAGGAGCGGCGCGUUCACGGCACUCCGCACUAAACGGACGACAUGAACGAGAUGGAAGGGCGGCGAGAGGGACUACCUGGCGAAUGAGCCGCACAUCAGCGAGUGUGACGGGGAUGUAGAGGAAGAAGGUGCUGCAGAAAGCGCUCCACCGCUCCCUAGGGGGAUGGGGGGAGGGCCCUGGAGCGCAGCUUUGCACUCUUCAGCUCCAAAAGGCCGAUAAGGACAGGGACGGUUGUCAUUAACGGCCAUCCAGCACAUAUCAGCGCGCAUGGCGCGGAGCUGCUGUGGAGGAAAGCUUCUUACUGUUCCUAAAUCAGCACUUGGGCUGUUUUUCUCACCGAAUACACGUGGAGAUCUCCGUCCUGCUACGUAAGAGCCACGGGGAGCUGCAGAGAUUUGGCGCCACUUUCAAAUCCCGGUCUGGCGCUCGUUCACACUCAGACUGAAGGGAGAGCAGAAGAACGAACGAAAACAGGCGAUUUUACCUUAAAAAAGAAUGAAACGUUAUAUUUUCCGUCCGGGACUUUGUUCUUAAGGAAUCUGUGCUGGAGAUCACAUUUCGAAAAGGCCAACUGAACGCGUGUUACCACGAUCUUAAAAGCCAUACGCGAAGCUUUGCACUCACGUCUUGAAAACAGGAGCAAAUGGGCUCCCGAACCAUAUUCCCUGUCUCUGCGUCUGGUGUUCUGCUGCCAGGCUCAUGUUGGCCUUAAGCUGGAAGCAGUGGAGAGGCGCUGCAGUGAGGCGCCCACUCUGUGAACUUAAUCCAUCCUGACCAGAGCAGGAGGGGGAGCUUUGGAGUGCGAGCAGGAGGACGGCAAUAACAACAGCACUAAUAAUCCUACAGGAAAGGGCCAAAUGUAAACUGAAUAAACACAGUCGCAUUAAUAAUUUCAUUAGGCCUUGUUAUGGUUAAUAUGAGAGUGUAAUCUUUUAGAAUCCCUCAUGGCUGAACAAUGCUCCAAACUCUCGCAGUGCAGUAUAAAAGCCGAGUCAAUUUUACAAACCACGGCAGUAUCAACCAGAGCAAUGACCAAAUAGUGGUUUAUACAGUUCUGGGGGCGGAAUUAACUUAAAUCGGAUAAACACAAUUAGGAUAUUUACAGCCCUACAUUUCUGCAGCGAUAGGAGGAAAAUGCUGGUGAAUGCUCGGACAUCGACUGUCAUUUUUAGUUAUGAUUAAGAUUAUACGAUUGAUUGUAACUUUGAAUAGCCUUUAUUUUUGCUUAGUACUCUCAUUAUGAGUUCAAUUCAACUUGUUGUUUCGGUUUUCUAGAUAUUUUAUUGGGGUCCUGGUCUGGAUUACAUUCAUUUGUAGAGUAUCUGCGGAUUGACCUUUGUUGUUUUUUUUUAUCUAACACAUAUUUACAUUUUUUUUAUCAACUAGUCUGAGCGAAAUCAUUUAAUCUAUAUAAAACAGCGAAUGCCAACUUUAAUAUGCAUAACAAGCUAAAGAUAAGCAGAUAAUAAAUACUAUAAACAACAACAACUCAAAUGUCAAAGUGUAGACCGUCAAAUAAAAAAAAAUAACCACUGAAAUGUGAAGGAAAAACAUACACGUAAACAUUACAGAACAGGUCAGCGAUUACACUGUUUUGGACAUACACAUCUUUUAUAAAACUGGAUUUGAAGAUUGUUAAAGACAAUAAAGAAGGGUACACAACUCUUGUUGUGCUUAACGUUAUAUUAAGGUAUUGUACAUAUAUCACUCUUCGUGUGUGUGUGUGUGUGUGUGUGUGUGUGUGUGUGUGUGUGUGUGUGUGUGUGUGUGUGUGUGUGUGUAACAUCGCCCUGCUUCCCAGCUGCCUCAGGUAAAACCAAUGGAUGACUAUACUCUGCACUGGGCUGCACUGACAGCGGUCGAAACCAUCCAACACAACAGUACCAGGCAAGAUUGCAGUAAACAUGGCUUUAAGGUUCAGUAUUAUUUACACAGAAUAUGACAAGACACCUAUUUUUUUAUAAUAUCUGAAAUGAAAUCCUUUUCUGAUCUGUGACACUCUGAGGCUUUACAUUAUUUUAGCGGGGUUAAAAAUUAAUUACUAAACUACACUAAAAUGGUCUUUUUUGGCUGCCUCCUCGUCUGGCUCUAAAGUCCUGUUCUCAGGGCCGAGGCUUCGCUCGCCCCCCUGCGGCAGCUGCUUGUUCAGCCUGCGAAGAAACGAGGGAGUCCAACGAGGGAAAAGUGAAGCCGCCAUUGCAUUUAACAUGUGUCCUUCCUUUGAGCUUUUAUCUUAACAAAAAGUUCUUGCCCGUUUUAGACAGUGUCUGUCUGAUGAGCUGAUGCUGUCUCUCAUUAAUAAAAAAAAGUGCUACGCCGUUAAAUAUAUUUUCUAGUUUAUGCUGCUUCAGAUCGUGUGUUUUAAAUACAUUUUGCCUGCAAAACUAUACAACAGCAAAUCAAAACGGUAUAACAGUAUCUCUCAGUGCAGCCUGUAUGUGUGGUAAAAGCACAUUGUAACGCGAAGAGAAAGCUUCAUGUUGCAUUAGUGUUUUGCUACAAUUAGAAAGUUAGCAUUGCGCUAUGCUUCGGUAAUUAAACAAAAAAAAAAGAUAAAAGUAAAUCACUGAAACCCAACCUUGUUAUAAGGUUUCCCAACAUAUACUCCAGGUUUAAAUUAGCUUAUAUUUUAGAUAGUGACCCCUUAAAUUUAGCUGUUUUCGGUUUUCAAUGUUGCCAAUUUAGCCCAAAACCUCAGAAUUCACGACCUUAGCAGUCGUGGAAGUGCAUUUGUUUUUAAGGCCAGUUAUAAGAUAUGUAAUAUUAAUACACGGGUCUCCUUCGUUUUUCAUAUGCAAUUUACUAAAAGAACUAUGAUUUGGCGCUGAAAAGAAAAGCGAAUUGCAUUUUUACAACGCGAAAACAAUCUAUCAGCAUACUUUAAAUAUACCAUCUGAUGGUAUAUAAAAUGUUUAAAAAUACUGAUAUUUAAAAAAAAUACCUAAUUUAUUUAUAUGUAUCUGGAUCCUAGCCCAGACGUGUUUGGUGCUAAUAUUAUUAACAAAAGAAAUGCAUAAUUUUCUAUUUUAAAUUCCUUUUCCUAUUUUUUUGUGUUCUUUGUUGCAAAUUAACUGAAUAAUAUGUAAACAUUAAAUCAAUGGUUUGUUGUAUUAUUAUAGUUUUAAUAAAUGCAACAUUUAAAUUAUAUUUUAAUCGUGACAACUGAACUUAUUUGAAUCUUAUGUUAUUUAUAUUUAGAAAAUAUCUAUUUAAUAUGUUAUUUAAUAUGUUAUUUAAUAUGUUAUUUAAUAUUUGGCAUAAAUGGCAUCUGGUCCAGCUUAGGCCAUGAUUUUAUUUAUGUAUGUAAAUACACCCUGAACAGAAAGUGAAUAAAAGUUUAACAUGGUAA